UGAUGCGAGUGACCUAUUUGAGGACUUU
rnacentral:piRNA from 1 species